rnacentral:rRNA from 1 species
AGAGUUUGAUCCUGGCUCAGAGUGAACGCUAGCGGCGUGGUUAAGACAUGCAAGUCGAGCGAUGAAGUCCCUUCGGGGAUGGAAUAGCGGCAAACGGGUGCGUAACACGUGAGCAACCUGCCUUGAAGUGGGGGAUAGCCCGGGGAAACCCGGAUUAAUACCGCAUGUGGUGCCUUCUCGCAUGAGAAGUGGACCAAAGCUUGUAAAGGCGCUUCAAGAGGGGCUCGCGGCCUAUCAGCUUGUUGGUGAGGUAAAGGCUCACCAAGGCGAAGACGGGUAGCUGGUCUGAGAGGAUGAUCAGCCACACUGGGACUGAGAUACGGCCCAGACACCUACGGGUGGCAGCAGUUUCGAAUCAUUCACAAUGGGGGAAACCCUGAUGGUGCAACGCCGCGUGGAGGAUGAAGGCCUUCGGGUUGUAAACUCCUGUCACCAGGGAACAAACAGUCGGUUCGUAGCCGGCUCUGAGUUAACCUGGAGAGGAAGAGGUGGCUAACUCCGUGCCAGCAGCCGCGGUAAUACGGAGACCUCAAGCGUUACUCGGAUUCACUGGGCGUAAAGAGUAUGUAGGCUGUCUGGUAUGUCAGGUGUGAAAGCCCGGGGCUCAACCUCGGAAUUGCGCCUGAAACUACCGGACUCGAGGCCUGGAGAGGGGAGUGGAAUUCCUGGUGUAGCGGUGAAAUGCGUAGAUAUCAGGAGGAACACCAAUGGCGAAGGCAGCUCCCUGGACAGGUUCUGACGCUGAGAUACGAAAGCGUGGGUAGCGAAAGGGAUUAGAUACCCCUGUAGUCCACGCCGUAAACGUUGUACACUAGGUUUCGGAGGGCCUACCCCUUCGGAGCUCCAGCUAACGCGUUAAGUGUACCGCCUGAGGACUACGGCCGCAAGGCUAAAACUCAAAG